GUAUGAGUCAAGAGCAUAUGAUGAAUCAAAGUUUUUCUGCUGAUUUAGAAAUAUCUUUAUAUACUUCUAAGGGAGGAAGUUUAGAUAGAGAUAGAUAUACUAAUUUAAUAACUAUUAGUACUGAUUUGAAACUUGUUAGUAAUAUAGGUAAUUUUAAAAGAGGAUUAUAUACUGUAUCUACUAAUUGUAGUAAUGCUACAUCUAGUUUUGAUCCUAAAAAUUGGGAAUUUAGAAUUAAAAAUUUAACUAAUUAUUCAGAGUGUACGGCUACAUUUACAGAAGAUACUACUACUUAUCCAACUUUAUAUGACCAUAUUAUAACAUUAUGGAAUAAUACAGAUGGUUCUAAUAAUAUAUAUAAGGAAAGUCAUACAAUUAAUGGUAAUAGUUAUUCUGAAUAUAGAUAUGAAGGAGAAGAUACUUUAGUUAAUAACUAUGUCUGGUUUAACAAUGAAUUAUGGAGAAUAAUUGGGGCAUUUCCUGGAGGAACACCGACAACAGAUGCGGAUAAUUUAGGUGAUGGAGCACCUAGUACAAGUAAUACUGUUAAGAUAAUCAGGAAUGAUUCAAUAGGUAGUUUUGCAUGGCAUAAGAGCAAUACUAAUGAUUGGACAGUUGCUUCAUUAAAUACGGAGAUAUUAAAUAAUUUAUAUUUAAAUUCAGCUUCUGGUACUUGUUAUUUUAAUGGUGCUACAGUAAGUAAAAGUUGUAGUUUUGAAGAUAAUGGACUUGCUAAUGUACAAAAUUUUAUUGAAAAUGCUACUUGGAAUUUAGGGGGAUAUAAUAGUAAUUCAGUAACAGCCUCAGAUAUGUAUACGUACGAAAGAGGAACUAACGUUUAUAGUGGUAGACCAGUAGUAACUACAGGUAAGGUAGGAUUAAUGUAUCCAUCAGAUUAUGGAUAUUCGGUUACCAAUGCUAACUGUAGUCAUACAAGUACAAAUCUUGAUAGUUAUAAUACAGCAGCUUGUUCCGGUAAAGCGUGGUUACUUAAGUAUGGGUAUGAAUGGACGAAUACUCCUGACUUUCGAGAUUCCUACUAUGUGUUCUACGUGAAUCCCAAUGCGAAUGUGAGCGGCAACAACGCGUAUGUGAACCACAAUCGCGCGCAUAUCGGGUAUGGGGUCCGCCCGGUUUUAUAUCUAAAAUCUAAUAUCUAGCGUCUAACAUCUAACAUGGUAGGAGAGCGUUGAAUGCGGGGUGAAGUCAGAGCGAAAGCGCUGGUGGACUGCAUUGAAGUGAGAAUGCCGGAAUGAGUAGCGAGAUUUAUGUGAGAAUCAUAAAGGCCGAAAGACUAAGGUUUCAGAAGGAAGGUUCGUCCGCUUCUGGUUAGCCGGGAGCUAAGGUGAGGCCGAAAGGCGUAGCCGAUGCACAUACGGUGGAGAUUCCGUAGCCGUCGAAAUAUUUAAGCAAAGGGACACUUAUGAAGGGCAUGACCCGGGCGAUGGUAGCCCCGGGCGUAAGGGACCGAAAAUAAGUAGGGAAGCAUGUUUGGAAUAAGGCGAGAAAAGCUUUGUGGAUAUAUGAGACGUCCGUACCGCAAACCGACACAGGUAGUCAGGAAGAGGAUUCUAAGGCCAACGGGAGAAGGGUAGUUAAGGAACUCGGCAAAUUGACCCCGUAACUUCGGAAUAAGGGGCGGUGCGUAAGCACCCGCAGUGAAUAGGUCCAGGCGACUGUUUAUCAAAAACACAGCUCUCUGCUAAAUCGAAAGAUGACGUAUAGGGGGUGACACCUGCCCGGUGCUGGAAGGUUAAGAGGAGGAGUGCAAGCUCCGAAUUGAAGCCCCAGUAAACGGCGGCCGUAACUAUAACGGUCCUAAGGUAGCGAAAUUCCUUGUCGGGUAAGUUCCGACCCGCACGAAUGGUGUAACGAUCUGGACGCUGUCUCAACUGCCCACCCGGCGAAAUUGUAGUACCGGUGAAGAUGCCGGUUACCCGCGGCAAGACGGAAAGACCCCAUGGAGCUUUACUGUAACUUGAUAUUGGGUCUUGGUAUUCUAUGUACAGGAUAGGCGGGAGACUGAGAAACAUACACGCCAGUGUAUGCGGAGUCACCCUUGGGAUACCGCUCUUAGAGUACUGAGAUUCUAACCUGCGGCCGUGAAUCCGGUCGGGGGACAUUGUCAGGUGGGCAGUUUGACUGGGGCGGUCGCCUCCUAAAAGGUAACGGAGGCGCUCAAAGGUUAGCUCAGCACGGUCGGAAACCGUGCCUCUGAGUGUAAACGCAAAAGCUAGCCUAACUGCGAGGCUGACGGGCCGAGCAGUAACGAAAGUUGGAGUUAGUGAUCCGGCGGUAUGUGAAUGGAAAUGCCGUCGCUCAACGGAUAAAAGCUACCCUGGGGAUAACAGGCUGAUCUCCCCCAAGAGUCCACAUCGACGGGGAGGUUUGGCACCUCGAUGUCGGCUCAUCGCAUCCUGGGGCUGUAUUCGGUCCCAAGGGUUUGGCUGUUCGCCAAUUAAAGCGGUACGCGAGCUGGGUUCAGAACGUCGUGAGACAGUUCGGUCCCUAUCUGUCGUGGGCGCAGGAUAUUUGAAAGGCGCUGUCCCUAGUACGAGAGGACCGGGAUGGACGCACCUCUGGUGCACCAGUUGUCACGCCAGUGGCACAGCUGGGCAGCUAUGUGCGGAACGGAUAAACGCUGAAAGCAUCUAAGCGUGAAGCCGCCUCCAAGAUAAGAUAUCCCAUAGCAUAAGCUAGUAAGACCCCUCAUGGACUAAGAGGUUGAUAGGCUGCAUGUGUAAGCGUGGUGACACGUUUAGCUUGGCAGUACUAAUAGGUCGAGGGCUUGACUU
rnacentral:rRNA from 1 species